AGUGAACGCUGGCGGUAGGCCUAACACAUGCAAGUCGAACGGCAGCACAGGAGAGCUUGCUCUCUGGGUGGCGAGUGGCGGACGGGUGAGGAAUACAUCGGAAUCUACCUUUUCGUGGGGGAUAACGUAGGGAAACUUACGCUAAUACCGCAUACGACCUACGGGUGAAAGUGGGGGACCGCAAGGCCUCACGCGAUUAGAUGAGCCGAUGUCCGAUUAGCUAGUUGGCGGGGUAAUGGCCCACCAAGGCGACGAUCGGUAGCUGGUCUGAGAGGAUGAUCAGCCACACUGGAACUGAGACACGGUCCAGACUCCUACGGGAGGCAGCAGUGGGGAAUAUUGGACAAUGGGCGCAAGCCUGAUCCAGCCAUACCGCGUGGGUGAAGAAGGCCUUCGGGUUGUAAAGCCCUUUUGUUGGGAAAGAAAUCCUAUCGGUUAAUAACCGGUGGGGAUGACGGUACCCAAAGAAUAAGCACCGGCUAACUUCGUGCCAGCCGCCGCGGUAAGAC
rnacentral:rRNA from 1 species